AUGCGACUCUGCCCGUCACCUUCCUCAACUCCUCAUCUCGAUCGCGUACGCCAACGCCCCUCGACGAUGAAGCCCCACAAGAGCAGCCCCUUCUCGCGGAAGGUCUCCGUCGCCGUUGCCACGCCGAUCCUCCUCCUGCUGGCCCUCGCCGUCGUCUCGCUCUACGACUUCAACUUGGCCGAAACUUACCACAACAUACGCCGCGCCUCCUCUUCAUCCUCUGCAUCUCCUGGCCCUGCCACCACCUCCUCGUCGCCCACGGCUCCGGCUACCGUAUCAUCGUCAACUUCGCCGGCCAACUCCUCCUCGUCGUCAUCGUCUACGUCGGCGGCGUCUCCAGCCACCGCCGUCGAGGCCUGCGACCUGACGCGGGGCCAGUGGGUGCCGGACGACGAGCCGCCGUACUACACCAACCUGACGUGCCCGUUCAUCGACGACCUCCAGAACUGCAUGAAGUUCGGCAAGCCGGGCGGUCUCGACCUCAUGCGCUGGCGGUGGAAGCCUGACGGCUGCGACCUCCCCCGCUUCGAUGCCGGGCGGUUCUUGGAGGCCAUGAGGGGCAAGUCCAUCGCCUUCGUCGGGGACUCGCUCGCCAGGAACCACUUCAAGUCACUGCUCUGCAUCCUGUCGCAGGUGGCAGAGCCGGUGGAGCUCGUCACCACGACGGAGACGGACGUGACGGGGAGGGCCGUCCGCCGAGACUUCCACUACGGCAGCCACGGCUUCAACGUCUCGCUCUUCUGGUCGCCAUUCCUGGUCAAAGCCAACCUCUCCAGCGCGGCGCUCGGCCUGGGCCUGUGGGACGUGCACCUCGACACGGCGGACGCCCGGUGGGCGGCGCACAUCGCCGACUUCGACCACAUCGUCCUGUCCGGCACCAACUGGUUCUUCCGCCCCUCGGUGUACUACGAGGGCGGCCGGGCCGUCGGGCGCAACGACGGCGCCAGCGGCGCCCACAACGCGACGGAGGCGCCCGUCUCCGGCGCGGUGCGCGCCGCGUUCCGCACGGCGCUCGGCGCCAUCGCGGCCCGAGAGGGGUUCCGCGGCAAGGCCGUGGUCCGGACGGUCACGCCCGCGCACUUCGAGAACGGGGAGUGGAACACCGGCGGCGACUGCGUGCGCACGCGGCCGCUCCGCCGCGGCGAGCGCGCCCGCGACGCUGUCGUGGCCGAGUUCCGCGCCGCGCAGGUUGACGCGCUGAGGGAGACGGAGGCGGCACGGCGGCGGAACCGGAGCGGAGCGGAGCUGCGGUUGCUGGACAUCACGGAGGCGAUGGAGCUGCGGCCGGACGGGCACCCGAGCCGGUACGGGCACCCGCCGGGCGGGAGCGUGGAGGGGAGCUUCGUGGUGGACUGCCUGCACUGGUGCUUGCCCGGGGCGAUCGACCUGUGGAGCGAGCUGCUGUUCCACAUGCUGGCGGCUCAUCCACCACAGCGUGCUGACUGA
rnacentral:rRNA from 1 species